GAUUCGUUCCGAACAGAUGCUUGUCUUUUUUUUUUAUUUGUGUCAUACUUUGACAGCGAAGUAUUAGUCACAACAAGGCGCUGUUUCCGAAAUAUGUCAAUUUUCCCGAGCUUUAGGCUUAACAAGGGUGGCUGUACAGGGUCCUAAAUAUUUGGCUGGGCAUGUUCAAAAAAAGAUUCUGCAAUCAACGCUGCACUGUUUUUGUUCAAAUUUUGCAGAACGAUCGUAUUUUGGCGUCGACUUCGUUUAGUAUGGUAUUUGGCACAGUUAAUUGACUAAGAAAAAUGUGCAAAUUUUCCAGCGCUUAUGGGGAGGCGAGCUACUGCCACGACGGUGCAAGCAUAAACUUGUAUCGCCACCUGUCGUCAUCUGCAGAAAACAGCGUUUCAGGGAGGGCUGCCGCGUGUUGCCCCAUAGAGUUAGUAGAACAACUCUAGAGGAAAAGCUGGGCCGGAAAAGUGGGAACCUCUAGGGCGCCGCCCUGUUGCUACUGGUCAAUGUGGCCAGCGCAAUUACUAUUGAAAGAGCUGAGAACAAGUACAGGUCACCUUAUGCUUUGUCAUCUAAAAACGCAUACCUGAUGGCUUUAUGAAGGUGGUACGUUAAUAUUAAGUUUACAAAAAGCAAUUGAUAAGUCCGUGACUUACGUAAAUCACGAUGUACGCAUUCAUACAAUAAAGGAUGACGCGAAUUUCGGUUUCGAAUCUGUUUUUUGGAUGCGUAGUAGUUUCGUUUGACAUGCGAUCGCGCGUCGACAUCGGACGCUAUGGCACACUCGUGCCUUAUGUGCCACCGAAGCCCCGAAGUGGUCUGGCAUAUACCUUCACAUACAAUGCCUACGCCUAGCCACAGCAGCUCCCUCAUACAGACUCCGCAAGCCAAGAGGCCGUGGAGGCAAAUGCAGGCAGCCAGCACACCUCGAACAGCCACCUUGACUGCGGGUGUGUCACCCUAGUCGCCAAGGAAACAUUUGAGGGAAAGUGACAGGCAAUGUGAACAGCCACUUCUCCAUGUAAACAAUACUCUUUCUCUCGGAUGACUCCUACGCCUCACCACGCCAGCACACUUGUGCACAAAGAUGCCGCAGAGGCACGUGCAGGUCAGAGGCAAGAAGCAGUGGCACUGGUGUCGACAUUUACCCAAUUUCUUUUUCUUACACUGAGGCAGCCAGCACACCUCGAACAGCCACCUUGACUGCGGGUGUGUUAGUAGAUUCCUGUUGUACAUAUGCUCAUAAUAAACUUCAGUAAACUUGAACUUCAUAAUAAACUUGAAGGCAAAUGGGA